GGUUGUGGGCUAUAGCCUUGGUGGGGGGCGCGGGCGAAGUUCGUCCGCCAGACUCGGAAUGGGUCGAGACUUUGCGAGGGGCCUCGGGGUGCCAAAAAUAAGCCGCGGGCAAAGCCGCGCCCAAAAAUAAGCGCCCGAAGGCCGUGGUGCCAAAACCCCCCAGCGGAAAAAUGGCCAAAAAACGGGUCGUGGGCUAUAGCCUUGGUGGGGGGCGCGGGCGAAGUUCGUCCGCCGGACUCGGAAUGGGGUGAGACUUUGCGAGGGGCCUCGGGGUGCCAAAAAUAAGCCGUGGGCAAAGCCACGCCAAAAAAUAAGCGCCCGAAGGUCGCGGUGCCAAAACCCCCCAGUGGAAAAAUGGCCAAAAAACGGGUCGUGGGCUAUAGCCUUGGUGGGGGGCGCGGGCGAAGUUCGUCCGCCGGACUCGGAAUGGGGCGAGACUUUGCGAGGGGCCUCGGGGUGCCAAAAAUAAGCCGCGGGCAAAGCCGCGCCCAAAAAUAAGCGCCCGAAGGCCGUGGUGCCAAAACCCCCCAGCGGAAAAAUGGCCAAAAAACGGGUCGUGGGCUAUAGCCUUGGUGGGGGGCGCGGGCGAAGUUCGUCCGCCGGACUCGGAAUGGGACGAGACUUUGCGAGGGGCCUCGGGGUGCCAAAAAUAAGCCGCGGGCAAAGCCGCGCCCAAAAAUAAGCGUCCGAAGGUCGCGGUGCCAAAACCCCCCAGCGGAAAAAUGGCCAAAAAACGGGUUGUGGGCUAUAGCCUUGGUGGGGGGCGCGGGCGAAGUUCGUCCGCCGGUCUCGGAAUGGGGCGAGACUUUGCGAGGGGCCUCGGGGUGCCAAAAAUAAGCCGCGGACAAAGCCACGCCCAAAAAUAAGCGCCAGAAGGUCGUGGUGCCAAAACCCCCCAGCGGAAAAAUGGCCAAAAAACGGGUCGUGGGCUAUAGCCUUGGUGGGGGGCGCGGGCGAAGUUCGUCCGCCGGACUCGGAAUGGGGUGAGACUUUGCGAGGGGCCUCGGGGUGCCAAAAAUAAGCCGUGGACAAAGCCGCGCCAAAAAAUAAGCGCCCGAAGGUCGCGGUGCCAAAACCCCCCAGUGGAAAAAUGGCCAAAAAACGGGUCGUGGGCUAUAGCCUUGGUGGGGGGCGCGGGCGAAGUUCGUACGCCGGACUCGGAAUGGGGCGAGACUUUGCGAGGGGCCUCGGGGUGCCAAAAAUAAGCCGCGGGCAAAGCCGCGCCCAAAAAUCAGGGCCCGAAGGUCGCGGUGCCAAAACUCCCCAGUGGAAAAAUGGCCAAAAAACGGGUUGUGGGCUAUAGACUUGGUGGGGGGCGCGGGCGAAGUUCGUCCGCCGGACUCGGAAUGGGCGAGACUUUGCGAGGGGCCUCGGGGUGCCAAAAAUAAGCCGCGGGCAAAGCCGCGCCCAAAAAUAAGCGCCCGAAGGUCGUGGUGCCAAAACCCCCCAGCGGAAAAAUGGCCAAAAAACGGGUCGUGGGCUAUAGCCUUGGUGGGGGGCGCGGGCGAAGUUCGUACGCCGGACUCGGAAUGGGGCGAGACUUUGCGAGGGGCCUCGGGGUGCCAAAAAUAAGCCGCGGGCAAAGCCGCGCCCAAAAAUCAGGGCCCGAAGGUCGCGGUGCCAAAACUCCCCAGUGGAAAAAUGGCCAAAAAACGGGUUGUGGGCUAUAGACUUGGUGGGGGGCGCGGGCGAAGUUCGUCCGCCGGACUCGGAAUGGGCGAGACUUUGCGAGGGGCCUCGGGGUGCCAAAAAUAAGCCGCGGGCAAAGCCGCGCCCAAAAAUAAGCGCCCGAAGGUCGUGGUGCCAAAACCCCCCAGCGGAAAAAUGGCCAAAAAACGGGUCGUGGGCUAUAGCCUUGGUGGGGGGCGCGGGCGAAGUUCGUACGCCGGACUCGGAAUGGGGCGAGACUUUGCGAGGGGCCUCGGGGUGCCAAAAAUAAGCCGCGGGCAAAGCCGCGCCCAAAAAUAAGCGCCCGAAGGUCGCGGUGCCCAAACCCCCCAGCGGAAAAAUGGUCAAAAAACGGGUUGUGGGCAAUAGCCUUGGUGGGGGGCGCGGGCGAAGUUCGUCCGCCAGACUCGGAAUGGGUCGAGACUUUGCGAGGGGCCUCGGGGUGCCAAAAAUAAGCCGCGGGCAAAGCCGCGCCCAAAAAUAAGCGCCCGAAGGUCGUGGUGCCAAAACCCCCCAGCGGAAAAAUGGCCAAAAAACGGGUCGUGGGCUAUAGCCUUGGUGGGGGGCGCGGGCGAAGUUCGUACGCCGGACUCGGAAUGGGGCGAGACUUUGCGAGGGGCCUCGGGGUGCCAAAAAUAAGCCGCGGGCAAAGCCGCACCCAAAAAUCAGGGCCCGAAGGUCGCGGUGCCAAAACUCCCCAGUGGAAAAAUGGCCAAAAAACGGGUUGUGGGCUAUAGCCUUGGUGGGGGGCGCGGGCGAAGUUCGUCCGCCGGACUCGGAAUGGGCGAGACUUUGCGAGGUGCCUCGGGGUGACAAAAAUAAGCCGCGGGCAAAGCCGCGCCCAAAAAUAAGCGCCCGAAGGCCGUGGUGCCAAAACCCCCCAGCGGAAAAAUGGCCAAAAAACGGGUCGUGGGCUAUAGCCUUGGUGGGGGCCGCGGUCGAAGUUCGUCCGCCGGACUCGGAAUGGGACGAGACUU
rnacentral:lncRNA from 1 species